CCAGACUCCUACGGGAGGCAGCAGUGGGGAAUAUUGCACAAUGGGCGCAAGCCUGAUGCAGCCAUGCCGCGUGUAUGAAGAAGGCCUUCGGGUUGUAAAGUACUUUCAGUCGGGAGGAAGGUGGUAAGGUUAAUAACCUUAUCAAUUGACGUUACCGACAGAAGAAGCACCGGCUAACUCCGUGCCAGCAGCCGCGGUAAUACGGAGGGUGCAAGCGUUAAUCGGAAUUACUGGGCGUAAAGCGCACGCAGGCGGUCUGUCAAGUCGGAUGUGAAAUCCCCGGGCUCAACCUGGGAACUGCAUUCGAAACUGGCAGGCUGGAGUCUUGUAGAGGGGGGUAGAAUUCCAGGUGUAGCGGUGAAAUGCGUAGAGAUCUGGAGGAAUACCGGUGGCGAAGGCGGCCCCCUGGACAAAGACUGACGCUCAGGUGCGAAAGCGUGGGGAGCAAACAGGAUUAGAUCCCCCUGUAUA
rnacentral:rRNA from 1 species